GAUGAACGCUGGCGGCGUGCCUAAUACAUGCCAGUCGAGCGAACAGACGAGGAGCUUGCUCCUCUGACGUUAGCGGCGGACGGGUGAGUAACACGUGGAUAACCUACCUAUAAGACUGGGAUAACUUCGGGAAACCGGAGCUAAUACCGGAUAAUAUAUUGAACCGCAUGGUUCAAUAGUGAAAGACGGUUUUGCUGUCACUUAUAGAUGGAUCCGCGCCGCAUUAGCUAGUUGGUAAGGUAACGGCUUACCAAGGCAACGAUGCGUAGCCGACCUGAGAGGGGGAUCGGCCACACUGGAACUGAGACACGGUCCAGACUCCUACGGGAGGCAGCAGUAGGGAAUCUUCCGCAAUGGGCGAAAGCCUGACGGAGCAACGCCGCGUGAGUGAUGAAGGUCUUCGGAUCGUAAAACUCUGUUAUUAGGGAAGAACAAAUGUGUAAGUAACUAUGCACGUCUUGACGGUACCUAAUCAGAAAGCCACGGCUAACUACGUG
rnacentral:rRNA from 1 species